CCUCAUUUAUAUCAUUCUGAAACCCUAAAAAACACAUUUCUAUUCCUCCUCCCCCUCAAUCGACGCCGCCAACUUACCUCUAACCACCAUCAUCGCGAUCGGCCUCGUUUGGCAAAAAAAAAAAACCUUGUUUUCCUCAUCUCAUCAAUUGUUUAUACCUUUCUAUCCAAACAAAAACACUAAGGGAAUAGAAUGAAAAAUGGGCAGUCCCUUUUUUUGAAGUUUAUCAUGAAGCUUUGGCCUUGUUGCAUCAAUCAUGAACCCUAUCCUUCAUACUUUCAUUCUCAUCUACAAAAUACAUUUGCAAUAGUUUCCCUCAACUCAUUUAAUGUUACUUCUGAUUUGUUUGAUCAAAUACUUAAAUACAGAAAUGAUGGAAGAAAGAGGAAACUUGCUGCUUUGUUGGCUCAAACUUCUCUGGAAACACAAUUACUCUCUGAUAUUUGGGUGCAUCGAUCAUGUGGAACUAUCAGCGGUGACUCUCCAACUCAACACAUUCAAUCUUUUUAAUUUGAAGACUGGAUGCUUAUGGUUUCCUGCUAAAGUUCAUAAGGAAUAAAUAUUUGAAAGAUUUAGUCUUGGAGCAAAAGAAAAGAGAUUUGGAGCUGAUUCGGACCAAAAAUAUGAAGAUUUGGUAUAAAAAUAUGAAGCCACUACCACAUCACUCCUUUUGCUGCUUUUGCUUCUUCGACAAGGUGCCUAUUUAGUUUAUUUGUGACCUAAAGUCCAUAGUUUCUUGUGGAACACUCUAUUGAUGUAUUUCUUGGGGCUUAAGUAGUUGUAGACUAUAAAUAGAGCAGUUAGCAAACACAUUCAUUCAUCUUUCGUUCGUGCAAAUAAUAAGUGACAAUUGUUUCUUUGAAUAAAAGUUCACCUUAUUUUAUUAUUAUUUA